CCCAUGUUUCCGGUGUAGCAGAGUUAGAUGUAACUCGUUCUCUCUCUAGGGUUUAUAUUGUUUGGCACAGAAACUUGGGCCUCUCCCUCUCUAGCUGCUAUCUGCGACGUUUUUUCACUCAUCCGGCGACUAUUUUCCUUGGUCUUUGUUCAGCUCUUUGUACUUUGUAGAAGCUUUCUUAUGUGCAGGAAUGGCCAAUAACUCUCAGUCUUCUGGUGCUCAGCCUCCUAGGCCUCCUACAGUUGGAUCAAUGGGCCCUCAAAGUUUUGGUUCACCCUUCCCUAUGCAGUUUCGAUCUGUACUUCCGGCACAGCAAGGACAGCCAUUUAUUCCAGCAACUUUGGGUUCUCAACAAUUUCGUCCAGUUGGACAAGGUAUAUCUUCACCUAAUGUUGGGAUGCCUUCUAAUCAAAGUCAGCCUCUGCAGUUUUCUCAACCAAUGCAGCAGUUACCUCCAAGGCCUGGCCAGCCAAGUCUUGCUACAACUUCAUCACAAGCAAUUCCAAUGCCAUACAUUCAGCCAAACAUGCCACAGACCCAGCAACCUGCUCCGCACUUAAAUAAUCAUAUGCCUGGUUUAGGUGGUCCCGGAGCACCUUUCUCCUCAUCCUAUACUUUUGCACCAUCUUCUUUCGGCCAGCCACCAACUGCGGUCAAUGUCUCAUCCCAGUACCAACCUUUGUCACAAAUGCAUGCACCUGUUGGAGGACAACAUUGGUUGUCAACUGGAAGUCAUGGUGCACCACCUGUUGCACCUGUGCAGGAGACUGGGCAACAACCUUCAGUUACACAUGCCACAGUUCCAGGUGUAAACGUUCCUAAUACCACUCAACAGUUUUCAUCUGAUUGGCAAGAGCAUAUGGCAGAUGGUAGAAGAUAUUAUUACAACAAGAAAACAAAACAAUCUAGCUGGGAGAAGCCUUUGGAAUUGAUGACACCUAUUGAGAGGGCUGAUGCAUCGACUGUUUGGAAGGAGUUCUCAACAACAGAUGGUAGAAAGUACUACUACAAUAAGAUCACUAAGCAAUCUAAAUGGACAAUUCCUGAGGAACUGAAGCAGCUGGCCCGAGAACAGGCUGAAAAACCAGUUACACAGGGAACUGAAUCAGAAAUAAAUAUGACCCCUAAUGCUCAAGCCUCUGACACAGUCUCCUCAGUUGAACAGCCAUCUGCUACACUCAUUCCUGUGAGCUCCACUUCUUCGACAAUACCUGGGGUAGCUUCAAGCCCAGUUCCAGUUACACCUAUUGUUCCUAUGAAUGCUUCCCCUGUAGUGGUUUCUGGAUCAUCAGACAUUCCUGUUGUGCAUUCUGCUGCAACAACUAGUGCAGAUGGCGUAAACUCUCUUGGGAUAACUGUCGAUGCUUCACCUUCUGCUGUUACAGGAAGUACUGUGGUUCCUGCUGCUUUAGUUGGCGUCAACACGACACCAAUGAGCAGCUUUGAAAAUAUAUCGUCUCAUGAUUCUGCAAAUUCAUUAGAUGGAGCUUCUAUGCAGGAUAUUGAGGAAGCGAAGAAGGGCAUGGCUGUUGCUGGGAAAAUCAAUGUGACACCAAUGGAGGAGAAAACAGUUGAUGAUGAACCUUUGGUGUAUGCCACCAAGCAGGAGGCAAAGAAUGCAUUUAAAGCACUACUAGAAUCUACAAAUGUCGAGUCUGACUGGACUUGGGAGCAGACAAUGCGAGUGAUUAUUACUGACAAAAGAUAUGCCGCCCUGAAAACUCUCGGGGAGCGAAAACAGGCAUUUAACGAGUACUUGGGCCAAAGGAAAAAAUUGGAGGCUGAGGAAAGGCGCUUGAGGCAGAGGAAAGCACGCGAAGAAUUUACAAAGAUGUUGGAAGAGUCGGAGGAACUCACAUCAUCCACAAGAUGGAGCAAAGCUAUUAGUAUGUUUGAAAAUGAUGAACGGUUCAAUGCUGUUGAGCGAAAUUCAGAGCGUGAGGAUCUCUUCAGAACUUACUUGGUGGAUCUUCAGAAAAAGGAAAAGGCAAAGGCUCAGGAGGAAUACCGGCGGAAUAGAUUAGAAUACAGGCAAUUUCUGGAAAGUUGUGGUUUUAUUAAGGUGAAUAGCCAAUGGCGGAAAGUUCAGGAUCGCUUGGAAGAUGAUGAAAGGUGCUCACGUCUUGACAAAUAUGAUCGCUUGGAUAUUUUCACGGAAUAUAUUCGCGACUUGGAGAAGGAAGAAGAAGAACAGAGGAAGAUACAGAAGGAACAAUUGAAGCGGGCUGAGCGGAAAAUCCGUGAUGAGUUUCGUAAGAUGAUGGAAGAACAUAUUGCUGCAGGCACUCUAACGGCUAAAACUCACUGGCGUGAUUAUUUUAUGAAGGUAAAGGAUUCUGUGCCAUAUGAGGAUGUUUCAUCAAACACAUCUGGUUCUACGCCUAAAGAUAUGUUUGAUGAUGUUGUUGAAGAAUUAGAGAAACAGUAUCAUGAAGACAAAAAUCGUAUAAAAGAUGCUGUAAAGUUGGGAAAGAUUAUUAUCACAUCAACAUGGACGUUGGGUGACUUUAAAGCUGCCAUACUGGAUGACAUUGGUUUGCCACCAAUAUCAGAUGUCAACUUAAAACUUGUAUUUGAGGAUCUGGUUGAGAGAGCCAUGGAGAAAGAAGAGAAAGAAGCUAAAAAGCGUGAACGGCUUGCUCAAGACUUCACUGAUCUAUUGUCCACCUUCAAGGAAAUUACUGCAUCUUCUAAUUGGGAGGAAAGCAAGCAACUUUUUGAGGAAAGCUCAGAGUACAGAUCAAUUGGGGAAGAGAGUUUUCGCAGGGAGAUCUUUGAGGAAUACAUUGCACAUUUACAAGAAAAGGCAAAAGAGAAGGAACGCAAGCGAGAGGAGGAAAAGGCAAAAAAGGAGAAAGAGAGAGAGGAGAAAGAGAAGAGGAAGGAGAAGGAAAGAAAAGAAAAAGAGAGAGAGAAAGAAAAAGAACGUGAAAGAGAAAAGGAGAAGGGGAAGGAACGGUCUAAGAAGGAUGAAAAAGAGAGUGAAAAUGUAGAUGUUACCGACAGUGUUUCCCAUAGAGAGGAUAGAAAAAGGGAAAAAGACAAAGAUAAAAAGCAUCGGAAGCGCCAUCAGAGUGCCAUGGAUGAUCUCAGUUCUGAUAAGGAUGAGAAAGAUGAGUCCAAGAAGUCACGCCGACAUAACAGCGAUCGUAAAAAAUCAAGAAAGCAUGCAUAUACGCCUGAAUCAGAUAGUGAAAGCAGGCAAAAAAGACACAAGAGAGAACACCGGGAUGGUUCGCGUAGAAAUGGUGGUUAUGAGGAGCUUGAAGAUGGGGAGCUCGGUGAGGAUGGCGAAAUCUGACCUAUGUGUACAGUGAGGCAUCUCGUUUGAUCUUCACUCUUUGAAGGAAGUUUUGAUGGAUCAUUUAUACAAAUUCAUGUUUCAUGAAGUAUAUGACCUAUGAAGAUCAUUAAUUGAAUUCUUACGUAAGUUUGCUUUGGAACGAUAGAUUUGAAUAGUUUCCAAAAGCCGUUGCAGUUUUGCCGAAAGUUGGGGGUUUGAGUGUUAUCUUUUGCUGAAGAAAAGAAUGGAAUAUGUGCCGGGUGAGUUAUCUUUUUGGCCUUUUUACGGGUAUAUGCUCUGGCAAGCUUAAGUCUGAACUGGUGAUGCCUUUCUAGAAAAGGGGCAUUUUUCCAAAAACAAGUGAUGAAAAUCUGUAACUAAUAUAUACAGUAUUUUAGUGGAUUAUAGUCUUUUGUGCCUCUCGUAUUUGAGUAGUUGGGUUUUCCAUACUUGUUGUUUUUGCAAGAGAAAUCAAAAGGGGCAUUAUCUAGCCCUAAAAGGUGCAAUAUUGUGGUGUGUAAAACAGGGGAAAUCAAAAGGUACUUUUGCUUUGCACACAUGCACUCUGGAUAUAUGUACAUAUAUGUGUGUUUUAUGAGAGACAUGGAUAAUCUGACUUUUUGUAUAAACUGCUUAAACGAGAAAUAAUUAUUGAUUGUCAAACAAAUGACCAAGUAUUUUUUUUA